rnacentral:tRNA from 1 species
GGGGGCGUAGCUCAGUUGGGAGAGCACCUGCCUUGCAAGCAGGGGUCAAGGGUUCGAAUCCCUUCGUCUCCA